rfam:Parcubacteria bacterium GW2011_GWA1_47_9 TY14_C0039, whole genome shotgun sequence.
GGCGCGGUGGCGAAGAGGUAACGCGACGGUCUGCAAAACCGUCAUGCGAGGGUUCGAGUCCCUCCCGCGCCU